rnacentral:rRNA from 1 species
AUUGAACGCUGGCGGCAGGCCUAACACAUGCAAGUCGAGCGGAUGAAGGGAGCUUGCUCCUGGAUUCAGCGGCGGACGGGUGAGUAAUGCCUAGGAAUCUGCCUGGUAGUGGGGGAUAACGUCCGGAAACGGGCGCUAAUACCGCAUACGUCCUGAGGGAGAAAGUGGGGGAUCUUCGGACCUCACGCUAUCGGAUGAGCCUAGGUCGGAUUAGCUAGUUGGUGGGGUAAAGGCCUACCAAGGCGACGAUCCGUAACUGGUCUGAGAGGAUGAUCAGUCACACUGGAACUGAGACACGGUCCAGACUCCUACGGGAGGCAGCAGUGGGGAAUAUUGGACAAUGGGCGAAAGCCUGAUCUAGCCAUGCCGCGUGUGUGAAGAAGGUCUUCGGAUUGUAAAGCACUUUAAGUUGGGAGGAAGGGCAGUAAGUUAAUACCUUGCUGUUUUGACGUUACCAACAGAAUAAGCACCGGCUAACUUCGUG